rnacentral:lncRNA from 1 species
CUUUUCUGAAAUACUUUUCCUUCUGUUUUUUUAUUUUGUUUAUACUAUCCUUUCUCUUUUUUAGUUUUCUUCAGUUUUUUUCUGCCUGUUUUAAUUUUUUUUUGUUUUUUCUAUAUAUUUAGGGUGUUUUUUCUGAUAUACUUUUCUUUCUGUUUUUUUAAUUUUGUUUAUACUAUCCUUUCUCUUUUUUUAGUUUUCUUUAGUUUUUUGUCUGCCUGUUUUAAGUUUUUUUUAUUAGUUUUUUUAGUUCUUUUUGUUAUAUAUAUUUAGGGUGUUUUUUUUUCGGAAAUAGUUUUCCUUCUGUUUUUUUAUUUUGUUUACACUAUCCUUUCUCCUCUUUUUAGUUCACUUUAGUUUUUUUCUGCCUGUUUUAAGUUUUUUUUUUAGUUUUUUUUAGUUUUUUAAAGUUUUUUUUAGAAAUACUAUUCUUUUUUUUCUUUUUUUAGUUUUCUUUAGUUUUAUUCUGCCUGUUUUUAAGGUUUUUUUUAAGGUUUUUUUCAGUUUUUUGUUAUUUAUAUAUAUAUAUAGGUUGUUUUUUUCUGAAAUACUUUUCCUUCUUUUUUUUAUUUUGUUUAUACUAUCCUUUCUCCUUUUUAGUUUUCUUUAGUUUUUGUCUGCCUGUUAUAAGUUUUUUUUUAGUUUUUUGAAGUUUUUUUUAGAAAUACUAAUCUUCUUUUUAUUAGUUUUCUUUAGUUUUUUUCUGCCUGUUUUAAUUGUUUUGUUUUUUGUUUCCUUUAGUUUUUUUUUCUUCAGUUUUUUUUCCUAUUUUUUUGCCUGGCACCUCUUUCUUGAUGAGCUACUCUUAGUCUGGUCCCUCCCCCAGGACCUGCUGCCUUGGGUAACCUUUCAGAGGCAUAAAGCCCUGACAACAUAGCUCCUGGGAUCAUUGGGACACACAAACCCCUCCACCACGGUAAGGUGGUAGCUCAAGGAGGGGAAAAAACCCUCACAUGGGAGGGAAAAACCGCAAGGGUUUUUUUUUCUGUGCAAAACACCCGGUUUAGGGUGGGUUUUUGUUCUUUUUUUUCGGAAAUACUUUUCAUUUCUUUAGUUUCCUAUAGUUCUUUUUUAUUUUUCUGCCUGUUUUAAGUUUUUUUUCAGAAAUACUGUGAUGUUUCUUUUUUUUUUUUAGUUUUUUUUUUUACGAAUACUAUUCUUUUUCUCAGUUUUCUUUAGUUUUUUUUGUCAUUUAUAAAUAUUAAGGGUUUUCCUUUCUGAAAUACUUUUCCUUCUGUUUUUUUAUUUUGUUUAUACUAUCCUUUCUCUUUUUUAGUUUUCUUUAGUAUUUUCUACCUGUUUUAAGUUUUUUUUUUUUUUUUUUUUUUUUCUAUAUAUUUAGGGUGUUUUUUUCUGAAAUACUUUUCCUUCUGUUUUGUUUUAUUUUGUUUAUACAAUCCUUUCUCUUUUUUAGUUUUCUUUAGUUUUUUUCUGCCUGUUUUAAGUUUUUUUUUUAGUUUUUUUUUGUUUUUUUUCUAUAUAUUUAGGGUGUUUUUUCUGAUAUACUUUUCUUUCUGUUUUUUUUAAUAUUGUUUAUACUAUCAUUUCUCUUUAUUUAGUUUUCUUUAGUUUUUUGUCUGCCUGUUUUAAGAUGUUUUUAUUAGUUUUUUUAGUUCUUUUUGUUAUAUAUAUUUAGGGUGUUUUUUUUCAGAAAUAGUUUUCCUUCUGUUUUUUUUUAUUUUGUUUACACUGUCCUUUCUCUUUUUUUUUAAUUUUCUUUAGUUUUUUGUCUGCCUGUUUUUAGUUUUUUUUUUUAGUUUUUUUUUUAGUUCUUUUUGUAAUAUAUUUAGGGUGUUUUAUCAGAAAUACUUUUCCUUCUGUUUUUUUAUUUUGUUUAUAAUAUCCUUUCUCCUUUUUUAGUUUACUUUAGUUUUUUCUGCCUGUUUUAAGUUUUUUUUUUAGAUUUUUUUUAGUUUUUUAAAGUUUGUUUUAGAAAUACUAUUCUUUUUCUUCUUUUUUUAGGUUUCUUUAGUUUUUUUCUGCCUGUUUUAAGGUUGUUUUUUAGUUUUUUUUUCUUGUUGUUAUUUAUAUAUAUAUAGGUUGUUCUUUUCUGAAAUACUUUUCCUUCUGUUUUUUUUAUUUUGUUUAUACUAUCCUUUCUCUUUUUUAGUUUUCUUUAGUUUUUUUCUGCCUGUUUUAAGUUUUUUUUGUUUUUUCUAUAUAUUUAGGGUGUUUUUUUUCUCAAAUACUUUUCCUUCUGUUUUUUUUAUUUUGUUUACACUAUCCUUUCUCUUUUUUUAAUUUUCUUUAGUUUUUUGUCUGCCUGUUUUUAGUUUUUUUUUUUUUAGUUUUUUUUAGUUCUUUUUGUAAUAUAUUUAGGGUGUUUUAUCAGAAAUACUUUUCCUUCUGUUUUUUUUAUUUUGUUUAUACUAUCCUUUCUCUUUUUUAGUUUUCUUUAGUUUUUUUCUGCCUGUUUUAAGUUUUUUUUAGUUUUUUUAGUUUUUUAGUUUUUUCUAUAUAUUUAGGGUGUUUUUUUCUGAAAUACUUUUCCUUCUGUUUUUUUUAUUUUGUUUAUACUAUCCUUUCUCUUUCUUUAAUUUUCUUUAGUUUUUUGUCUGCCUGUUUUAAGUGUUUUUUUUUAGUUUUUUAAAGUUUUUUUUUAGAAAUACUAUUCUUUUUCUUCUUUUUUUAGUUUUCUUUAGUUUUAUUCUGCCUGUUUUUAAGGGUUUUUUUAGGUUUUUUUCAGUUUUUUGUUAUUUAUAUAUAUAAACAACCUGUUUUAAGGUUGUUUUUUAGUUUUUUUCUUGUUGUUAUUUAUAUAUAUUAAGGGUGUUCUUUUCUGAAAUACUUUUCCUUCUUUUUUUUCAUUUUGUUUAUAAUAUCCUUUCUCUUUUUUAGUUUUCUUUAGUUUUUUUCUCCCUGUUUUAAGUUUUUUUUUUUUUUUUUUUUUUUCUAUAUAUUUAGGGUGUUUUUUUUCUCAAAUACUAUUCUUUUUCUCCUUUUUUUUAGUUUUCUUUAGUUUUAUUCUGCCUGUUUUUAAGGUUUUUUUUUAGUUUUUUUUCAGUUUUUUGUUAUUUAUAUACACUCACUGGCCACUUUAUUAGGUACACCUGUCCAACUGCUCGUUAACACUUAAUUUCUAAUCAGCCAAUCACAUGGCGGCAACUUAGUGCAUUUAGGCAUGUAGACAUGGUCAAGACAAUCUCCUGCAGUUCAAACCGAGCAUCAGUAUGGGGAAGAAAGGUGAUUUGAGUGACUUUGAACGUGGCAUGGUUGUUAGUGCCAGAAGGGCUGGUCUGAGUAUUUCAGAAACUGCUGAUCUACUGGGAUUUUCACGCACAACCAUCUCUAGGGUUUACAGAGAAUGGUCCGAAAAAGAAAAAAUAUCCAGUGAGCGGCAGUUCUGUGGGCGGAAAUGCCUUGUUGAUGCCAGAGGUCAGAGGAGAAUGGCCAGACUGGUUUGAGCUGAUAGAAAGGCAACAGUGACUCAAAUAACCACCCGUUACAACCAAGGUAGGCAGAAGAGCAUCUCUGAACGCACAGUACAUCGAACUUUGAGGCAGAUGGGCUACAGCAGCAGAAGACCACGCCAGGUGCCACUCCUUUCAGCUAAGAACAGGAAACUGAGGCUACAAUUUGCACAAGCUCAUCGAAAUUGGACAAUGAAGAUUGGAAAAACGUUGCCUGGUCUGAUGAGUCUCGAUUUCUGCUACGACAUUCGGAUGGUAGGGUCAGAAUUUGGCGUCAACAACAUGAAAGCAUGGAUCCAUCCUGCCUUGUAUCAACAGUUCUGGCUGGUGGUGGUGGUGUCAUGGUGUGGGGAAUAUUUUCUUGGCACUCUUUGGGCCCCUUGGUACCAAUUGAGCAUCGUUGCAACGCCACAGCCUACCUGAGUAUUGUUGCUGACCAUGUCCAUCCCUUUAUGACCACAAUGUACCCAACUUCUGAUGGCUACUUUCAGCAGGAUAAUGCGCCAUGUCAUAAAGCUGGAAUCAUCUCAGACUGGUUUCUUGAACAUGACAAUGAGUUCACUGUACUCAAAUGGCCUCCACAGUCACCAGAUCUCAAUCCAAUAGAGCAUCUUUGGGAUGUGGUGGAGCGGGAGAUUCGCAUCAUGGAUGUGCAGCCGACAAAUCUGCGGCAACUGUGUGAUGCCAUCAUGUCAAUAUGGACCAAGCUCUCUGAGGAAUGCUUCCAGCACCUUGUUGAAUCUAUGCCACGAAGAAUUGAGGCAGUUCUGAAGGCAAAAGGGGGUCCAACCCGUUACUAGCAUGGUGUACCUAAUAAAGUGGCCGGUGAGUGUAUAUAUAUAGGUUGUUCUUUUCUGAAAUACUUUUCCUUGUGUUUUUUUAUUUUGUUUAUACUAUCCUUUCUAUCCUUCUAUCCUUUAUCCUAUCCUUUCUUUUAGUUUUUUUAGUUCUUUUUGUUAUAUAUAUUUAGGGUGUUUUUUUUCAGAAAUACUUUUCCUUCUGUUUUUUUAAUUUUGUUUACACUAUCCUUUCUCCUUUUUUUGGUUAACUUUAGUUUUUUUCUGCCUGUUUUAAGGUUGUUUUUUAGUUUUUUUUAGUUUUUUAAAGUUUUUUUUUUAGAAAUACUAUCCUUUUCUUCUUUUUUAAUUUUCUUUAGUUUUAUUCUUCCUGUUUUUAAGUUUUUUUUAGUUUUUUUUUAGUUUUUUGUUAUUUAUAUAUAUAGGUUGUUCUUUUCUGAAAUACUUUUCCUUCUGUUUUUUUUAUUUUGUUUAUACUAUCCUUUCUCUUUUUUUUAGUUUUCUUUAGUUUUUUUUCUGCCUGUUUUAAUUUUUUAUUAGAAAAACUAUUCUUUUUCUUCUUUUUUAGUUUUCUUUAGUUUUUUUCUGCAUGUUUAAAGUUGUUUUUUAGUUUUUUUUUGUUAUUUAUAAAUAUUAAGGGUUUUCCUUUCUAAAAUACUUUUCCUUCUGUUUUUUUAUUUUGUUUAUACCAUCCUUUCUCUUUUUUAGUUUUCUUUAGUUUUUUUCUGCCUGUUUUAAGUUUUUUUUUAGUUUUUUUAGUUUUUUAGUUUUUUCUAUAUAUUUAGGGUGUUUUUUCUGAAAUACUUUUCCUUCUGUUUUUUUUAUUUUGUUUAUACUAUCCUUUCUCUUUCUUUAAUUUUCUUUAGUUUUUUGUCUGCCUGUUUUAAGUGGUUUUUUUUAGGUUUUUUUAGUUACUUUUGUAAUAUAUUUAGGGUGUUUUAUCAGAAAUACUUCUGUUUUUUUUAUUUUGUUUAUAAUAUCCUUUCUCCUUUUUUAGUUUACUUUAGUUUUUUCUGCCUGUUUUAAUUUUAUUUUUUAGUUUUUUUUUGUUCUUUUUGUAAUAUAUUUAGGGUGUUUUUUCAGAAAUACUGUUCCUUCUGUUUUUUUUAGUUUUUGUCUGCCUGUUCUAAGUUUUUUUUUAGUUUUUUUUAGUUUUUUUUAGAAAUAAUAAUCUUCUUUUUAUUAGUUUUCUUUAGUUUUUUUCUGCCUGUUUUAAUUUUUCUGUUUUUUGUUUUCUUUAGUUUUUUUUCUUCAGUUUUUUUUUCCUAUUUUUUUGCCUGGCACCUCUGUCUGGAUGAGCUACUCUUAGUCUGGUCCCUCCCCCAGGACCUGUUUGCCUUGGGUAACCUUUCAGAGGCAUAAAGCCCUGACAACAUAGCUCCUGGGAUCAUUGGGACACACAAACCCCUCCACCACGGUAAGGUGGUAGCUCAAGGAGGGGAAAAAACCCUCACAUGGGAGGGAAAAACCGCAAGGGUUUUUUUUUCUGUCCAAAACAACCGGUUUAGGGUGGGUUUUUGUUCUUUUUUUUCAGAAAUACUUUUAUUUUCUUUAGUUUCCUAUAGUUCUUUUUUAUUUUUCUGCCUGUUUUAAGUUUUUUUUUUCAGAAAUACUGUGAUUUUACUUUUUUUUUUUACUUUUUUUUUUUUUACAAAUACUAUUCUUUUUCUUUGUUUUCUUUAGUUUUUUUCUGCAUGUUUAAAGUUUUUUUUUGUUUUUUUUGUUAUUUAUAAAUAUAAAGGGUUUUCCUUUCUAAAAUACUUUUCCUUCUGUUUUUUUUAUUUUGUUUAUACUAUCCUUUCUCUUUUUUAGUUUUCUUUAGUUUUUUUCUACCUGUUUUAAGUUUUUUUUGUUUGUCUUUUUUGUUUUUUCUAUAUAUUUAGGGUCUUUUUUUCUGAAAUACUUUUCCCUCUGUUUUUUUAUUUUGUUUAUACUAUCCUUUCUAUUUUUUAGUUUUCUUUAGUUUUUUUCUGCCUGUUUUAAGUUUUUUUUUUUUUUUUUUUAUAUAUAUUUGGGGUAUUUUUUCUGAUAUACUUUUCUUUCUGUUUUUUCAAUUUUGUUUAUACUAUCCUUUCUCUUUUUUUAGUUUUCUCUAGUUUUUUUCUGCCUGUUUUAAGUUUUUUUAUUAGUUUUUUUAGUUUUUUUCUGUUAUAUAUAAUUAGGGUGGUUUUUUUUCAGAAAUUCUUUUCCUUCUGUUUUUUUAUUUUGUUUACACUAUCCUUUCUCCUCUUUUUAGUUUACUUUAGUUUUUUCUGCCUGUUUUAAGUUUUUUUUUAGUUUUUAAAAGUUUUUUUUAGAAAUACUAUUCUUUUUCUUCUUUUUUUAGUUUUCUUUAGUUUUAUUCUGCCUGUUUUUAAGGGUUUUUUUAGUUUUUUUUCAGUUUUUUUGUUAUUUAUAUAUAUAUAUAGGUUGUUCUUUUCUGAAAUACUUUUCCUUCUGUUUUUUUUUUAUUUUGUUUAUACCAUCCUUUCUAUCCUUUAUUUCUUUAGUUUUUUUCUGCCUGUUUUAAGUUUUUUUUUUUUUUUUUUUUUUUUUUUUCUAUAUAUUUGGGGUGUUUUUUCUGAUAUACUUUUCUUUCUGUUUUUUCAAUUUUGUUUAUACUAUCCUUUCUCUUUUUUUAGUUUUCUCUAGUUUUUUUUCUGCCUGUUUUAAGUUUUUUUAUUAGUUUUUUUAGUUUUUUUCUGUUAUAUAUAAUUAGGGUGUUUUUUUUUUCAGAAAUUCUUUUCCUUCUGUUUUUUAUUUUGUUUACACUAUCCUUUCUCCUCUUUUUAGUUUACUUUAGUUUUUUCUGCCUGUUUUAAGUUUUUUUUUAGUUUUUAAAAGUUUUUUUUAGAAAUACUAUUCUUUUUCUUCUUUUUUUAGUUUUCUUUAGUUUUAUUCUGCCUGUUUUUAAGGGUUUUUUUUAGUUUUUUUUUCAGUUUUUUUGUUAUUUAUAUAUAUAUAUAGGUUGUUCUUUUCUGAAAUACUUUUCCUUCUGUUUUUUUUUUUUAUUUUGUUUAUACCAUCCUUUCUAUCCUUUAUCCUAUCCUUUCUUUUAGUUUUUUUAGUUCUUUUUGUUAUAUAUAUUUAGGGUGUUUUUUUUCAGAAAUAUUUUUCCUUCUGUUUUUUUAAUUUUGUUUACACUAUCCUUUCUCCUUUUUUUAGUUUACUUUAGUUUUUUCUGCCUGUUUUAAGUUUUUUUUUAUUUUUUUAACGUUUUUUUAGAAAUACUAUUCUUUUUCUUCUUUUUUAGUUUACUUUAGUUUUAUUCUGCCUGUUUGUAAGUGUUUUUUUAAGUUUUUUUUGUUUUUUUGUUAUUUAUAUAUAUAUAUGUUGUUCUUUUCUGAAAUACUUUUCCUUCUGUUUUUUAUUUUGUUUAUACUAGCCUUUCUCUUUUUUUUAGUUUUCUUUAGUUUUUUUUCUGCCUGUUUUAAUUUUUUUUUUUUUUUUUUUGUUUUUUCUAUAUAUUUAGGGUGCUUUUUUCUGAUAUACUUUUCUUUCUGUUUUUUUUUAUUUUGUUUUAACUAUCCUUUCUCUUUUGUAGUUUUCUUCAUUUUUUUCUUCAUGUUUUAAUUUUUUUUUUAGUUUUUUCUAUAUAUUUAGGGUGUUUUUUUCUGAAAUACUUUUCCUUCUGUUUUUUUUAUUUUGUUUAUACUAUCCUUUCUCUUUUUUUAAUUUUCUUUAGUUUUUUGUCUGCCUGUUUUAAGUUUUUCUUUUAGUUUUUUUAGUUAUUUUUGUAAUAUAUUAAGGGUGUUUUAUCAGAAAUACUUUUCCUUCUUUUUUUUAUUUUGUUUAUAAUAUCCUUUCUCCUUUUUUAGUUUACUUUAGAUUUUUCUGCCUGUUUUAAGUUUUUUUAAAGUUUUUUUUAGUUCUUUUUGUAAUAUAUUUAGGGUGUUUUUUCAGAAAUACUGUUCCUUCUGUUUUUUUUAGUUUUUGUCUGCCUGUUCUAAGUUUUUUUUUAGUUUUUUGAAGUUUUUUUUAGAAAUAAUAAUCUUCUUUUUAUUAUUUUUCUUUAGUUUUUUUCUGCCUGUUUUAAUUUUUCUGUUUUUUGUUUUCUUUAGUUUUUUUUCUUCAGUUUUUUUUUCCUAUUUUUUUGCCUGGCACCUCUGUCUGGAUGAGCUACUCUUAGUCUGGUCCCUCCCCCAGGACCUGUUUGCCUUGGGUAACCUUUCAGAGGCAUAAAGCCCUGACAACAUAGCUCCUGGGAUCAUUGGGACACACAAACCCCUCCACCACGGUAAGGUGGUAGCUCAAGGAGGGGAAAAAACCCUCACAUGGGAGGGAAAAACCCGAGGGUUUUUUUUUCUGUCCAAAACAACCGGUUUAGGGUGGGUUUUUGUUCUUUUUUUUCAGAAAUACUUUUCAUUUCUUUAGUUUCCUAUAGUUCUUUUUUAUUUUUCUGCCUGUUUUAAGUUUUUUUUUUCAGAAAUACUGUGAUUUUACUUUUUUUUUUACUUUUUUUUUUUUACAAAUACUAUUCUUUUUCUUUGUUUUCUUUAGUUUUUUUCUGCAUGUUUAAAGUUUUUUUUUGUUUUUUUUGUUAUUUAUAAAUAUAAAGGGUUUUCCUUUCUAAAAUACUUUUCCUUCUGUUUUUUUUAUUUUGUUUAUACUAUCCUUUCUCUUUUUUAGUUUUCUUUAGUUUUUUUCUACCUGUUUUAAGUUUUUUUUGUUUGUCUUUUUUGUUUUUUCUAUAUAUUUAGGGUCUUUUUUUCUGAAAUACUUUUCCCUCUGUUUUUUUAUUUUGUUUAUACUAUCCUGUCUAUUUUUUAGUUUUCUUUAGUUUUUUUCUGCCUGUUUUAAGUUUUUUUUUUUUUUUUUUUCUAUAUAUUUGGGGUAUUUUUUCUGAUAUACUUUUCUUUCUGUUUUUUCAAUUUUGUUUAUACUAUCCUUUCUCUUUUUUUAGUUUUCUCUAGUUUUUUUCUGCCUGUUUUAAGUUUUUUUAUUAGUUUUUUUAGUUUUUUUCUGUUAUAUAUAAUUAGGGUGGUUUUUUUUCAGAAAUUCUUUUCCUUCUGUUUUUUUAUUUUGUUUACACUAUCCUUUCUCCUCUUUUUAGUUUACUUUAGUUUUUUUCUGCCUGUUUUAAGUUUUUUUUUUAGUUUUUAAAAGUUUUUUUUAGAAAUACUAUUCUUUUUUUUCUUUUUUUAGUUUUCUUUAGUUUUAUUCUGCCUGUUGUUAAGGUUUUUUUUUAGGUUUUUUUCAGUUUUUUUGUUAUUUAUAUAUAUAUAUAGGUUGUUCUUUUCUGAAAUACUUUUCCUUCUGUUUUUUUUUUAUUUUGUUUAUACCAUCCUUUCUAUCCUUUAUUUCUUUAGUUUUUUUCUGCCUGUUUUAAGUUUUUGUUUUUUUGUUUUUUUGUUUUUUCUAUAUAUUUCGGGUGUUUUUUCUGAUAUACUUUUCUUUCUGUUUUUUCAAUUUUGUUUAUACUAUCCUUUCUCUUUUUUUAGUUUUCUCUAGUUUUUUUUCUGCCUGUUUUAAGUUUUUUUAUUAGUUUUUUUAGUUUUUUUCUGUUAUAUAUAAUUAGGGUGUUUUUUUUUCAGAAAUUCUUUUCCUUCUGUUUUUUUAUUUUGUUUACACUAUCCUUUCUCCUCUUUUUAGUUUACUUUAGUUUUUUCUGCCUGUUUUAAGUUUUUUUUUAGUUUUUUAAAGUUUUUUUUAGAAAUACUAUUCUUUUUCUUCUUUUUUUAGUUUUCUUUAGUUUUAUUCUGCCUGUUUUUAAGGGUUUUUUUUAGUUUUUUUUUCAGUUUUUUUGUUAUUUAUAUAUAUAUAUAGGUUUUUCUUUUCUGAAAUACUUUUCCUUCUGUUUUUUUUUUUUAUUUUGUUUAUACCAUCCUUUCUAUCCUUUAUCCUAUCCUUUCUUUUAGUUUUUUUAGUUCUUUUUGUUAUAUAUAUUUAGGGUGUUUUUUUUCAGAAAUACUUUUCCUUCUGUUUUUUUAAUUUUGUUUACACUAUCCUUUCUCCUUUUUUUAGUUUACUUUAGUUUUUU